GCAUCGGUGGUGUAUGGUACACACGUCAACAUUCUGGUAGGAAUCAUUGGCAGUCAACCAUGACGAGCCCGGGGUUCGAGUCCCCGCCGGUGCA